UACGUAGGGAGCAAGCGUUGUCCGGAAUCAUUGGGCGUAAAGCGCGCGUAGGUGGCCUCAUAAGUCCGCUGUGAAAGUCAAAGGCUCAACCUUUGAAAGCCGGUGGAUACUGUGAGGCUAGAGUACGGAAGAGGCGAGUGGAAUUCCUGGUGUAGCGGUGGAAUGCGCAGAUAUCAGGAGGAACACCAAUAGCGAAGGCAGCUCGCUGGGACGGAACUGACGCUAAGGCGCGAAAGCGUGGGGAGCGAACAGG
rnacentral:rRNA from 1 species